rnacentral:lncRNA from 1 species
GGGAAAAGUCCUAAUUCCACGCCAUUUCUUUUGGGUUUCUCUCCAAAUCACAAAUCACAUUCACUUUGCGAAGUAUGAUCUCCUAAUCCUGGCUUGGACCGUGUUGGCGAGCACAAGACAUGACAUUCAAGAAGAUGGUGACAAACCAAAUCUCUCUCUAAGGUUUAGAGAGAGAACAUUAUCUCUGAGAGUUUUUCUUCUUAGGCUCAGUCCUCCGUCCCUGCUAGUUUUCGCGGUUGCCCCUGCCUCGAUGGGCAGGAUGGCUUCUUCCCCCUUGCCUGAAAGUGGGUUUCACUUCCUCCCCGUCCGAGUGAGGUUGUAAACAGUUCUUUUGGUGCUUGAUUUUUUGGCAAGCGGUUCUUUUCUUGUGAGGAAGUUUCCUUUCGAUCUUGCCUUAUUUGGUUGUAUGUUGGUGUUUGUUUUUUCUUUGUUCUUGUUUUAGGUGGAGGAACUUCCUUGCAUUGGUAUUUUUUUUAUAUGCUGGUGAAUGGGGUUUCAAUAGAUCUGAGCUUCUGAAGGUUUUAUUCUCCAUUGCAAUGGCUUUUCUCUUCAGGAGGUUUCCCUUCUCCUUUGGCUCGAGGGCUGGCGAGCGAACUCAAUCGCAGAAGUCUCUCUGCUCUUUCUCCUACAUUCGUCGUUCAUCUCUUAUCCUUGCUAGGGUUGCAUGUGUUUUUCCUUGCUUAGUGUCGCUCUUAUUUCUGUUGCUUUGGUUGCUGGAGGCNN